UGGGGAGGAAGAACCAACAGGGAUUGCCCCAGUAACGGCGAGUGAAGCGGCAACAGCUCAAAUUUGAAAUCUGGCCCCCGGGUCCGAGUUGUAAUUUGCAGAGGAUGCUUCGGGCGAGGUGCCUUCCGAGUUCCCUGGAACGGGACGCCACAGAGGGUGAGAGCCCCGUCUGGUCGGACACCGAGCCCGUGUGAAGCUCCUUCGAAGAGUCGAGUAGUUUGGGAAUGCUGCUCAAAAUGGGAGGUAUAUGUCUUCUAAAGCUAAAUAUUGGCCAGAGACCGAUAGCGCACAAGUAGAGUGAUCGAAAGAUGAAAAGCACUUUGAAAAGAGGGUUAAAAAGUACGUGAAAUUGUUGAAAGGGAAGCGCCCAUGACCAGACUUGGGCCCGGUGAAUCACCCGGCGUUCUCGCCGGUGCACUUUGCCGGGCACAGGCCAGCAUCAGUUUGGCGCGGGGGACAAAGGCUUCGGGAACGUGGCUCCCUCGGGAGUGUUAUAGCCCGCUGCGUAAUACCCUGCGCCGGACUGAGGUACGCGCAUCGCAAGGAUGCUGGCGUAAUGGUCAUCAGCGACCCGUCUUGAAACACGGACCAAGGAGUCGUCUUCGUAUGCGAGUGUUCGGGUGUCAAACCCCUACGCGGAAUGAAAGUGAACGCAGGUGAGAGCUUCGGCGCAUCAUCGACCGAUCCUGAUGUUCUCGGAUGGAUUUGAGUAAGAGCAUACGGGGCCGGACCCGAAAGAAGGUGAACUAUGCCUGUAUAGGGUGAAGCCAGAGGAAACUCUGGUGGAAGCUCGCAGCGGUUCUGACGUGCGAAUCGAUCGUCAAAUAUGGGCAUGGGGGCGGAAGACUAAUCGAACCUUCUAGUAGCUGGUUUCCGCCGAGUUCCCCCCUCCCGAGAGAGGGG
rnacentral:rRNA from 1 species